rnacentral:lncRNA from 1 species
AAAGCUUGAAUCCGAACCUAAAACCCGAACUCGAAUCGGAAUCCAACGGGUUUUAAAAACUCAUAUCCAAACACGAACCCGAAAAAAUCCAAAACUUGAACCCAAACACGAAAACUAAAACCGGAAAUAAUUAUUUCUCUUCACCAUAUUUCAAAACAUAUUAUAUUAAACUAUAAAUUUUUAAAAUAUAAGUGCAAAUAUAACAUCAAACAUUCAUAUAUAUUAUAUAAUAUAAAAUCAAUUCGGGUUCGGAUCAGGAUCGGGCAGGGACAAAAUCUAUACCCAAAUCCAAAUUCGUCAGAUUUUCGUUUUUUAUAUCCAUAUCCGGCUCUGCAAACCUUAUCUGUUUCACAUCGGGCAAAUCCGUCCAAUUCAAAUUCAGAUUCGGAUAAAAUUUUGGGUAUCUGUAUCCAUUGAC